AAAAUUUGAUAUUUUAAUUUAAAAUAUCAAUUUGAAAUCUUAAAAUUCAACAUUAAAAAUUUAAUUUUUAAAUAUAAAAUUUAAAUUUAAAAUAUAAAAUCUAAAAUCUAAAUUUAAAAUUUAAAAUUUAAAUUUAAAAAUUAAAAAUUUAAAACUUAAUUUUUAAAAAUUUUAAAUUUUAAAUUUUAAACUUAAAAUUUAAAAUUCAAAAUUUGAAAUUUAAAUUUUAAAAAUUUAAAAUCUAAAAUUUGUAACUGAAAAUUAAAACUUAUAAUUUUAAAUUUUAAAUUUUAAAUUUUAUCUUAAAUUUUAAAUUUUUAAAAUUUAAAUUUUAUCUUAAAUUUUAAAAUUGAAAUUUAAACUUUUAAACUUUGAAGUUUAAAAUUUAAGAUUUUUAAGAUUUUAAAUUUGAAGUUUAAAAGUUCAAAUUUAAAAUUUAAAAAUUUAAAAUUUAAAAUUUAAAAUUUAAAAUUUAAAUUUAAAUUUAAAUUUAAAGUUUGAAUCUAAAAUCAAAAUAAAAAUUUAAAAUUUGAGUCCAAAACAUAAUCAAAUUUCACUAAGUAGGCUUUAGUUGCUUCGGAUUUUGGGCCUCGAAAAUUAGGAAACUGAUUCUAAAAAUCAUAAUCAGAUUUUGAAAACAAGAUUGACAAAUGAUUUAUUGAGUUAAAAAAAAAGGGAAAACUUCAAAAAAUCCCCCUGUGGUUUCGUACUUUUUCAUUUUAGUAUCAUGUGGUUUAAAGUGUAUCAAAUUAGUACCCUGUGUUUCAUACUUUCUCACUUUAGUACCCUAUGGUUUAAAGUAUAUCAAGUUAGUACUCUGUGGUUUUAUUUUUAUAUCAAGUUAGUACCAUGUGGUUUUAUUUUUGUAUCAAGUUAGUACCUUGUGGUUUUCAAACCACAGGGUACUAAAGUGAGAAAGUGCGAAACCACAAGAUACUAACUUGAUACAUUUUAAACCACAGGGUACUAAAGUGAAAAAGUGUAAAACCACAUAAUACUAACUUGAUAUACUUUAAACUAUAGGAUACUAAAGUGAGAAAAAGUGAAACGACAAGGAAGGUAUUUGAAGUUUUCCCAACAAAAUACUUGAAGUCCAAAAUCAUUUUCCAAAAG
rnacentral:lncRNA from 1 species